GCGCACUUAGCUCAAAUGGGAAGAGCAUCACUCUUGAAAGUUGAGGUUGUGGGUUUGAUUCCCACAGUGCACA
rnacentral:tRNA from 1 species